UUAGUUAGUUGUAAUCCAUGAAAUUUCAUUCAACAGUAUUGACAGUUUCACAUGUUUCAGUUUCAACAAAUGAAUUAACCAAAGGGUGCUUUUGUUAAGUACUAAUAACUUCCAACACAUCUGAAACUAGUUUGGGUAGUCAAACAGAAGUCUGCAUCAUUUUCUCCGUCGUGGAUCCCGACUAAGCCCGUAUUUAUGCACCAAUCACAAGUGAGGUUUCAUUAGACAUAGAUGAAGAGGAGAAGGAAACUGCCCUUUUCAGCCAUACUGAGAAGCUUGCUGAUGCCUUUGGACUAAUCACUAUUCCCCUAUCUUCUCCAUUCAGAAUAAUAAUAUACACACUAUUUUCAUACUUCACUCUGCCUCUAUUUUGUGACUCAAUCAGUGACUUGAACAUUAAAGUGCUAAUCUUACCGAUGCACUACGCGCUGUCGCACCGGAGACUUGGACCACCGCAUCAGGAGUCCACCACCACAAUUCAACCAUAACUCUAGUUCCCACGCGGAAUAGAAAAGUUAUUUCAUCAAUUGUUUUUGCUUGCAACCUUCACCAUUAUUGUUUCAGGUAGAAGUAGAAUUUGCCAAUGGUAGUGUAUUCAAGUUGUCUGCUGAAUUUCUCAGAAGAAGUAGCCCUGAAGUUGAUGAAAAAUCAGAUCAAUUAGAGAUUGAUUUGAUUCUUUUCUAAUGAUACUUCUAUUACACUCUACUGAAGAAAGAAGAGUUAGUUGAACAUGGUUAGUAACAACUGCCACAUGUCAAUUUUAGUUAGAGAGCUAGUUACUACCGCUGUAAUCCUCAAUUUCUUUUUCUGAUAUCACAUCCCUUUUCCCUUGUAUAUAAUUGAAAAUGAAUUCA